AUGUUUCCUCUUCAAGCACUUCUUCUCAGUCAAAUCCUGUCCUGCACUUAAGUCAAGCCUCUGAACACCUCAACUCAUUCCACAUUCAAUCAAUACUGUGAUCCCUUCCCAACACUGUAUAGUGGACAGGAUCAGAAAGAGGCGAUGGGUUAAAGAAGGGAAGGAUAAGUGAUCAUGGAGAGCAAAAGUUUGAAGAGGAACACAAUACAAGAGCGUCACCAACAGGAAAUUACAUCAGGAGAUGGAGAGCAGCAGAGAUCUGCCUCUCUCUAACAGGGCUGUGCUGGGGACAGGGACAGACAGGCUGGGCAGGCCUAUUGAAGCCUCCAACAGAGGACCUAUCCUCCUGCCAUGGCAUGGUUCUCUGUAUCCUCUGUCUCAGUUUGGCUGUCCUCUAUGUGUCAUCAGUACACAUGGAGGGGAGGGGAGGUGGGAUGAGCUAAAUGGCUAACAGGUAGGAUGAUGGUGAGCCUGGUGCAUAAUGAGAAUAGAAGAACUGAUCACGUUAAUAUACACUGACACACACUGGCAAACACACACAUGCGUACACACAUACAGUACACACACAUACACACACACACACACACACACACAGAUUGGCUAACACACACACAAACACACCAUAACCCCACGACUGCUGAACCAAACAUAACAGUGCAUCUUCCACCAAUUUCCUUUCCAUGCUCUGAUGCACCAUCUUUGCUCACAUUAUUGAGUUAUUCUGAGGCAGAAAAACAUAGAACCAAGAAAUCAAAAUGCUGAAGAAACGGAACAUGCUGACUUUUGAGCAAGAAACACUUGCUUUCCUCACGGCACAGCUCCUACCAAGCAUAGUGAAGAAGUAGAUGGUAAAAUUACAGGUAUCUGUUUGGAUAGAAUCUUAUUCCAAAAGGAAAAUAAACCAGCCUCCCUGAUGGCAAUUGACAAGCCUUUUUGUUAAAACCGCAGUGGAUUUGUAAAACAGAGCUCGGUGGAAACUCUGUAGCAUUUUUGUCCGACAGGGUGGAGAAGAUGAGGAGGAAUAGACUCAGCUGCUGCCAGCUUAUUUCUCAGCAUCUCUAAGCCCAACAAAAGGAUACAUCCAAUCUUACACGAGUCAAACACGGCCAUUCUGUUAUCGUUAGAAACUCACUGACAUUUGCAGUCCGCAGGAUGGCUUCCAUAGGACAAUAGAAACACAUAACGGCCACUUGAAUCUCAAGUCAUCCUUGAAUGCCAAUACCCUCAUUGAACCUCGGGCGGGUUUUUGAAGCCAAGAUGGUGAACAAAGCGAUUACGUGUUCUUUCUCUCAGCCUCAAGAUGAAAAAGAGGGUAAUUUCAUAUUAGAGAUUAUCAUCAUGUGUAGGAAUAAAAGUCAGAUAUUUUUUGGGUGAGAGUCUUUUUGAAAGAGGAAAAAAGAGAAAGAGAGAAAGCAAAGUCUAUCCCUC